rnacentral:ncRNA from 1 species
UUAUGUCAAUGGCUAUUGGAUUGGUCCAUGAAGCGAAAAAUAGUUUACUGUGUCACUCGUACCGAUAACCGCAUCAGGUCUUCUAGGUAAGUAGCCUAUGGCCAUUGAGGCAUGAUAGUUCAGGGAAUUCGGCCAAUUAGAGCUGUAACUUCGGGAUAAAGCUUGGCUCUGAUGAAAAUCAGAACCGAUUGUUACGCGGAGAGCCCAACUGUUUAAUAAAAACGUAGUGUCGCGCUGUGGUAGUAUAGCCAGUGAACGCGACAUGAAUCCUGCUCAGUGCUGUGUCUGUUAAUAUGGUUCAAGCCAACGAAGCACCGGUAAAUAGCUGGGGUAACUAUGACUCUUAUCAAAGUAGCGAAAUACCUCGUCACUUAAUUAGUGACCUGCAUGAACGGAGCUAUGAGGUUCUCACUGUCCCAAACUGUCUCUCAGCGAACCAACUGUAGUGGGAACGGUCACUAGAUAUCCAGCGGGGAAAGAAGACCCUGUAGAGCUUCACUUUGGUCUAGUCUUGUAUAGUUCCUGCGGGGGUGUAGACUAGGUGGGAGAGCAAUCGAUUCUGAAAAACCACUACCCUGUUUGGAAUUAUGCUUACCUAUCACAAGGAAUAGGACUAGAUAGAAAGUUUGGCUGGGGCGGCACACCUUCGAAAGAGCAGCGAAGGUGUCCUAAGUUGAGCUCAGUGAGGACAGAAAUCUCACGUUGAGGAUAAGGCCAAAAGCUCAAUUUACUGUGCCUUUUUGUACUAGGAUCAGUUACGAAAGUAAGGCCUAACGAUCCCUAAAUAGCCUCAGGUGCGUGAGGAUUGUGGUGACAGACAAGUUACCUCCGGGACAACUGGAUUGUGGCUGCUAAGAGAUCAAAUCAACGCAGCUUUUUGAUUCUUCGAUGUCGGCUCUUCCUAUCCUAGUGAUGUACAAGUUG